rnacentral:rRNA from 1 species
UACGUAGGGGGCAAGCGUUGUCUGGAUUUAUUGGGCGUAAAGCGCGUGUAGGCGGCCAGAUAGGUCUGCUGUGAAAACUCGAGGCUCAACCUCGAGCUGUCGGCGGAAACCAUCUGGCUAGAGUCCGGAAGAGGAGAGUGGAAUUCCUGGUGUAGCGGUGAAAUGCGCAGAUAUCAGGAAGAACACCUAUUGCGAAGGCAGCUAACUAAGCUUAAACUGACGCUGAGGCACGAAAGUGUGGGGAUCAAACAGG